rnacentral:rRNA from 1 species
UUCGGGUGACAGGGAGACAGGUGGUGCGAUGGUUGUCGUCAGCUCGUGUCGUGAGAUGUUGGGUUAAGUCCCGCAACGAGCGCAACCCCUACGUUUAGUUGCUAACGCGUGAAGGCGAGCACUCUAGACGAACUGCCGUUGACAAAACGGAGGAAGGUGGGAUGACGUCAAAUCAUCAUGCCCUUAUGUUCUGGGCUACACACGUGCUACAAUGGCCGGUACAGACGGACGCAAAGCCGCGAGGUGGAGCAAAUCCUAAAAAGCCGGUCUCAGUUCGGAUUGCAGGCUGCAAUUCGCCUGCAUGAAGUCGGAAUCGCUAGUAAUCGCAGGUCAGCAUACUCGCGGUCGAAUACGUUCCGGGCCUU